rnacentral:rRNA from 1 species
UACGGAGGGGGCUAGCGUUGUUCGGAAUUACUGGGCGUAAAGCGCACGUAGGCGGCUUUGUAAGUUAGAGGUGAAAGCCCGGGGCUCAACUCCGGAAUUGCCUUUAAGACUGCAUCGCUAGAAUUGUGGAGAGGUAAGUGGAAUUCCGAGUGUAGAGGUGAAAUUCGUAGAUAUUCGGAAGAACACCAGUGGCGAAGGCGGCUAACUGGUCCAGAUCUGACGCUGAGGUGCGAAAGCGUGGGGAGCAAACAGG